GCGGAAGUGGCGAAAUUGGUAGACGCGCUAGGUUCAGGUCUUAGAGCCUUAACGGGUGUGGGGGUUCAAGUCCCCCCUUCCGCA
rnacentral:tRNA from 2 species